GAUGAACGCUCGCGGCAGGCUUAAUACAUGCAAGUCGUGGGGCAGCAGGACUGUAGCACUCCAGUUGCUGGCGACCGGCACACGGGUGCGGAACACGUACGCAACUUACCCUGAACUGGGGGAUAGCCCGGGGAAACCCGGAUUAAUACCCCGUAAUAUAAUGGAGUGGCAUCACUUUAUUAUUAAAGCUCCGGCGGUUCGGGAUGGGCGUGCGGCUGAUUAGGUAGUUGGUUGAGGUAACGGCUCACCAAGCCUACGAUCAGUAACUGGUGUGAGAGCACGACCAGUCAAACGGGCACGGAGACACGGGCCCGACUCCUACGGGAGGCAGCAGUAAGGAAUAUGGGGCAAGGGAGGCAACUCUGACCCAGCCAUGCCGCGUGGAGGAUGAAGGCCCUCUGGGUUGUAAACUUCUUUUAUAGGGGACGAAACCUGUGUAUUCUUACGCAGUUGACGGUACCCUAGGAAUAAGCACCGGCUAACUCCGUG
rnacentral:rRNA from 1 species